UGGGGAAUCUUGCGCAAUGGCCGAAAGGCUGACGCAGCGACGCCGCGUGUGGGAUGAAGCAUUUCGGUGUGUAAACCACUGUUGCCCGGGACGAACAGCUUCUUUCGAGGAGCCUGACGGUACCGGGUGAGGAAGCACCGGCUAACUCCGUGCCAGCAGCCGCGGUAAUACGGAGGGUGCGAGCGUUGUCCGGAAUCACUGGGCGUAAAGGGCGCGUAGGCGGCCCGGAAAGUCAACGGUGAAAGCUUGGGGCUCAACCCCGAGUCGGCCGUCGAUACUUCCGGGCUCGAGCACUGUAGAGGCAGGUGGAAUUCCGGGUGUAGCGGUGGAAUGCGUAGAGAUCCGGAAGAACACCGGUGGCGAAGGCGGCCUGCUGGGCAGUAGCUGACGCUGAGGCGCGACAGCGUGGGGAGCAAACAGGAUUAGAUACCCGCGUAGUCC
rnacentral:rRNA from 1 species